CCUACGGGCGGCAGCAGUGGGGAAUAUUGCGCAAUGGGGGCAACCCUGACGCAGCAACGCCGCGUGAUUGAAGAAGGCCUUCGGGUUGUUAAGAUCUUUAAUCGGGGACGAAUUUUGACGGUACCCGGAGAAUAAGCUCCUGCUAACUACGUGCCAGCAGCCGAGGUCCUACGUAGGGAGCAAGCGUUAUCCGGAUUUACUGGGUGUAAAGGGCGUGUAGGGGGGUAUGCAAACCAGAUGUGAAAUUUGGGGGCUUAACCCCCAAACUGCUUUUGGAACUGCGUGUCUUGAGUGAUGGAGAGGCAGGCGGAAUUCGCAGUGUAGCGGUGAAAUGCGUAGAUAUUGGGAAGAACACCAGUGGCGAAGGCAGCCUGCUGGACAUUAACUGACGCUGAGGCGCGAAAGCGUGGGGAGCAAACAGGAUUAGAUACCCCUGUAGUC
rnacentral:rRNA from 1 species